rnacentral:rRNA from 1 species
UGUCUUGUAAUUGGAAUGAUGGUGACCAAAACCCUCACCAGAGUAGCAAUUGGAGGGCAAGUCUGGUGCCAGCAGCCGCGGUAAUUCCAGCUCCAAUAGCGUAUAUUAAACUUGUUGCAGUUAAAAAGCUCGUAGUUGUAUUUUUGCGUUAGCGGUUUGACCAUUUGGUUGGUUAUUUCGUUUUCGCUUUUGGGAAUUUCCCUUUUUACUUUGAGAAAAUUAGAGUGUUUCAAGCAGACUUUUGUCUUGAAUACUUCAGCAUGGAAUAAUAGAGUAGGACUUUGGUUCUAUUUUGUUGGUUAUUGAACCUUAGUAAUGGUUAAUAGGAACGGUUGGGGG